GCAAGUGUAGCUCAGUGGUAGAGCACUUGCUUGAAUGCAUGAGGCCUGAGUUUGAUCUCCAGUACUGCA
rnacentral:tRNA from 1 species